rnacentral:rRNA from 1 species
UACGAAGGGGGCGAGCGUUGCUCGGAAUUACUGGGCGUAAAGGGCGCGUAGGCGGCCCUGUUAGUCAGGCGUGAAAGUCCUGGGCUCAACCUGGGAACUGCGCUUGAUACGGCAGAGCUAGAGGAUGGAAGAGGGUCGCGGAAUUCCCAGUGUAGAGGUGAAAUUCGUAGAUAUUGGGAAGAACACCGGUGGCGAAGGCGGCGACCUGGUCCAUUACUGACGCUGAGGCGCGACAGCGUGGGGAGCAAACGGG